rfam:Oryza glaberrima chromosome 4 Oglab04_0311_5, whole genome shotgun sequence.
UUUAAGUGCAGUCGUGUAUUUCUGUGUUCAACAUUUGACCGUCUGUCUUAUUUGAAAUGUUUUUAUGAUUAAUAUUUUUAUUGUUAUUAGAUGAUAAAAUAUAAAUAGUACUUUAUGCGCGUUACUUUUUUUUUAGUUUUUUCAUUAGUUUUUUUAAAUAAGACGGACGAUGAAACGUUGGAUAGAGAAACCCACAACUACACUUAAA